GUCUGAGAGGAUGGUCCCCCACACUGGUACUGAGACACGAACCAGACUCCUAAGGGAGGCAGCAGGGAGGAAUAUUGAUCAAUGGACGAAAGCCUGAACCAUCCUUGCCGCGUGCAGGAAGACGGACCUACGGGUUGUAAACUGCUUUUGUUCUGGAAUAAUGGCCCCCUCGUGAGGGGGUUUGACGGUACCGUACGUAUAUCGAUCGGCUAACUCCGUGCCAGCAGCCGCGGUAUUACGGAGGGUGCAAUCGUUAUUCGGAAUUAUUGGGCGUAAAGAUCGCGUAGGCGGCUUUGCAAUUCAGGUGUGAAAUCCCGGGGCACAACCCCGGAAUAGCAUUUAAUACUGUGAAGCAUGAGUAUGGAAUACGGAAGUGGAAUUCCUGGUGUAGCGAUGAAAUGCGUACUAUCAUGAGGAACGCCGGUGGCUGACGCGGCUUCCUGGACCAAUACUGACGCUGAGGCGCGAAGGCGUGAUGAGCAAACCGGAUUAUAUACGCUGGUAGUCCACACAGUAAACGUUGAUCACUAUGUGUAGCGGGUAUCGACCCCUGCUGAUGCCGGAUUCACCCAGUGAGUGAUCCGCCUGGGGAGUACCAUCGCAAGAUUUAAACUGACGGAAUUGACGGGGGCCCGCGUAGUUUGAUUAGCAUGUGCUUUAAUUCCCCUCACCGCCAUUAACCUUACCUGGCAUUUGACAUCCGCGAGGAUUCUUAUCAAAUUAGGGUAGUGCCCUUCAUGGAGCCGCAAGACAUGUGUCACCAUGCCUGUCCGUACACUUCCUGUCUAAAAUGUAGGUUAAGUCCC
rnacentral:rRNA from 1 species